rnacentral:rRNA from 1 species
GAUGAACGCUGGCGGCGUGCCUAAUACAUGCAAGUCGAGCGAAGCGGGGACGGGUGAGUAACACGUGGAAAAACUCCUAUAAGAACGGGAUAACUUCGGGAAACCGGUGCUAAACCGGCUACUUAGAUAUGGUUGCUCGCCGCAUUAGCUAGUUGGUAAGGUAACGGCUUACCAAGGCGACGCUGCGUAGCCGACCUGCGAGGGUGAUCGGCCACACUGGAACUGAGACACGGUCCAGACUCCUACGGGAGGCAGCAGUAGGGAAUCUUCCGCAAUGGGCGAAAGCCUGACGGAGCAACGCCGCGUGAGUGAAGAAGGUCUUCGGAUCGUAAAACUCUGUUAUUAGGGAAGCGGUACCUAAUCAGAAAGCCACGGCUAACUACGUGCCAGCAGCCGCGGUAAUUC